rnacentral:sRNA from 1 species
GCAAGCGCAGCAGUGUGAGUGUGGGAGUUCAAUCCCCAGAGCCCAGAUGAAAAAGCCAGAUGUGGCAGUACACAAUCGUAAUGCCCGCGCUGGGAAGACAGAGAUGGUUAGACCCUGGCAGUUCCAUAGCCAGCUGGCCAAGCUGAAAUGGCCAAGAAUAUGGGGCAGCAGUUCCAGGAUACUUGAUGGAGUGUUUGAUUCCAUAUGUUCCUGAGGCCUCUCUUCCUCCUGUUCCAAUGACAUUGGAGUGCAAGGACACAGGAACCCCAGGACACAACCAUCUCUUUCUACUUCCUCAUCCUGAGGAGAUGUGAGGAUGAGCUCAGAUAUUCAGAGCUUCUGAGCCCAAGCAGAAAAGAAACCUGAGCUUCCAAGAAGUAACUGGACUCACAGGACACAGUGUGUGAGGGACACACCCCUCAGAAGGGAAGCAUGACAUUUCUCACCCUUAGCAGCUGAGGUCGUCACAGAAGUCCUUUCUGAACCAGACCCACCUUCCCGUGCCAGGCUGGCUUUGUACAGUGUCCCAUUGGAUGUCUAAAGUGCCUAACUUCAUUAGAGUAGAAAAAACAUUUGCUUCUUGCUAGGCUCAUGAAAACUUUCCAAUAACAAGGUUGGCUGACUUCUAAUAUCUUUGAACAUUUAGUAUUUGACUGUAGGUUCCAAACUAUUAUCUGUCAGUAGGAUUCUAAUCUCUCCUUAAUCAGACUGCUCAGAAGGAAAAAAAAACAUGGUAACAUGGUGUAUUUUUUUAAGUGGUUUUAAAAUUCUACCAAGAGUUAAUUUGGGAGGAGAUAAAUUAAUACAAACUAAAAGAAUUCAUCAACCAACAGCAAAAAUUAGUGAUGCCUCUAAAGGGUCAGUUUGUCCCAAACUGGUGAGGUUGCGGUCAAGUAACUGUCAAUUUGCAGAUCCUGGAAACAGAAUUGAAAACUCAAAUGACAAGAGCCUUGAGGCAGUUUCUGACAAAACCCCGACAGCCUGCCCGGGUCCCCUCCACAGAACACUGUCACUGUGCAGAGCUGAGACUGCUCCAGAGUCUGAGCUGGAAGCUCAGUGGAUAGAAGUCCUGGCAGAGCUAGUGGCCAUGCUCACACCCUCCGUUCAGCACAGUGGGGCAGCACUGAUGGACCCGUCUGCCCUUUCUCUCUUGUCCUUGCCUUACAGAUCCAGUUCUGUAGUCCGUUACUAUGGUGGGUUGAUUGAGAACGGCCCUCAUAGACUCAUAUAUUUGAAUUCAUUCGUCAAGAGGUAGUGUUAGAAGUGUGGCCUUGUUGGACGAAGUGCGUUACAGGAAGGGAAGGGGUGAGGUUUCAAUAGCCCAAGCCCGUCCCAUUAUCUCUUCUUGCUGCCUGCAGAUUCAGUUGUAGAACUCCCAGCUCCUUCUCCAGCACUAUGUC